UACGAAGGGGGCUAGCGUUGUUCGGAAUUACUGGGCGUAAAGCGCGUGUAGGCGGGGCGUUAAGUCGGGGGUGAAAGACCAGAGCUCAACUCUGGAAUUGCAUUCGAUACUGGCGUCCUGGAGCAUGAUAGAGGCGAGUGGAAUUGCGAGUGUAGAGGUGAAAUUCGUAGAUAUUCGCAGGAACACCAUUGGCGAAGGCGACUCGCUGGAUCAUUGCUGACGCUGAGACGCGAAAGCGUGGGGAGCAAACAGG
rnacentral:rRNA from 1 species